UGUUGUUGUCAGUAGACUAUCGGUCUACUUGGUCAGCGCUAGCUUCUUCCUCACCGGACAGGCUAAACUUCUGCAGCUUCUCCACUAGAUUAGUCUGUCCGGUGAUGAAGAAGCUAGCGCUGACCGAGUAGACCGAUAGUCUGCUGACAACAACAGCCAACUUCUUAAUGUCUUCGAUUGCAGAGUCGAAGAUGUAGUCGAGUGUUUCUUUCACUUGGUAUACUGUCUCGUAUGGGCUCUGUUUCUUGA